rnacentral:rRNA from 1 species
AACGAACGCUGGCGGCAUGCCUAACACAUGCAAGUCGAACGAUACCUUCGGGUCUAGUGGCGCACGGGUGCGUAACGCGUGGGAACCUGCCCUUAGGUUCGGAAUAACUUCCCGAAAGGGGUGCUAAUACCGGAUAAUGUCUUCGGACCAAAGAUUUAUCGCCUUUGGAUGGGCCCGCGUUGGAUUAGCUAGUUGGUAGGGUAAAAGCCUACCAAGGCGACGAUCCAUAGCUGGUCUGAGAGGAUGAUCAGCCACACUGGGACUGAGACACGGCCCAGACUCCUACGGGAGGCAGCAGUGGGGAAUAUUGGACAAUGGGCGAAAGCCUGAUCCAGCAAUGCCGCGUGAGUGAUGAAGGCCUUAGGGUUGUAAAGCUCUUUUACCCGGGAUGAUAAUGACAGUACCGGGAGAAUAAGCUCCGGCUAACUCCGUG